GGUAACUAAGCAGCGGUUUAUCUCGCGGUAACUCAUCAUCUUUGAUUAGCGGUUAAAAACAGAAGUUACCUUUCCGAGACAGAUCUGACACGAGAUCGGCAAAGUGAGAGACAGAGUGGACGACUGGAAGUUAAGAGCCAUGCUUUGAGGGUAGACAGCGCCGCUCACAUACACACACAAACAUACACACACACAGCUUCUCUAUGGAGAUACGAAUUUCCCACCAGGACCCGCGCUUAGUCUGACAACUACGGGAAGCCAGUGUGACCAAAAAGGCGUUUUUAAAAGUUCAACAGCAGGAAGUGACUGACUGUCAGCAGCUAACGUUAGGAGAAGUUCUGCGGCGAGCUUACUCAGGGCAUGGAGAGAGUGAAGAGGAGAGAGAGAGAAGAGAGAGAGGAGGGAGGAGAAGGAGGAGGAGAGUGGUCUUUUUAAAAACUGCCUCAGUGCGCUAAUGUUCCUGAAACCUGAACCCUUAUUGGAUCUGAAGGGCAUCAUGACACAGGCGGCGUCCGCAGCCUCCGUGUGGAGGUGAGGAUUAAAGGGAUUGCUUUCAUUCAGGGAAGGAGAGGCGAAAAAGCCUUCCAGCAGAGCCCACUCCGACUCAGCCCUUCUCCCUGCGUGCCUGUCCCCUUGUCUCUGCUGCAGGGGCCGACUGACCGACUCCACCAGUGCACCGGUCACCAUCCGGCCGGCCAGCCUGGACGCUCUCUCCCGCACCCGUGGCUCGCCACUCUGCUGCAGCCAGGCUCAGCUAGCAGCUUCAUGGCCUCUGAUGUUUGCGAGGAAAAAGAGAGGAUGUACACAACCUUCCUGAUCUACUGCUGCGUUGGAGCUCUGGGGGUCUUGACCCUCUUAAAAAGGAAACAUUCAGGAUUGGAGCAAACCCGUGCAUGCAAUAAUGUCUUCUUCAUGUUAAAGUCAUCAUUCAGCCGUCAAACCAAGCAUCCUCACCGGGCUAACAUCAGAAGUCCAAAUGUUAGAGGGCUCAGGUCAGACAGCAGACUGGAUUUAGCCCUGCAGAGGCCUGAGUCUUCGUGGUGGGAUUCUCUCUCCUUCUCCUCUGGAGUUUGUUUCGCUCUUCACACCAUCAGAGUCACAGACGGACAACAGAUCCCUCUUUUGCAUCCUGACUGAAGAGGACAGCUUCUUUAAAACAGAAAGAAGUCUGUUUGGAUCUCCUCCUGGUGUCGUGUAUUCAGGGAUCACAGCAUCCUCUUCUGGACAAACGGGAAAGCAGCAGAGAGUGAACUGAAGGCAACACAGCACAUGUGAGCUGCUCUCUCCUGGACUCGAACGGUAACGUCUCCUCAGACUCACCUUUUUAUUUUAAACCCAGUAUAUACUUUUAUUAAUGCCGCUGCAGACUAAAGGAACUUAGGCUCCGACAAGUGCAGCUAUAAGACACUGAGAAAUAUCAACAAUACAAAGGGAAACAAAACAACUUAAGCCUGGAUGAAUAACACACUUACACGAACACGCUGCCUGGGAUGUAAAAGAAUCAUUUUGUUGCCGUUAGAAAACGUAUGCAGAAGUGCCAGUUAUGAAAAAUGUCAUCUUUAAAAGGCAAAUCUAAAUGUCAGAGAGACAGAUACUUUACACAUAGAGAUGGCUGCCUUCUGGGCCUAACACAGAAAGGCGUUAGGAUAAUAUUUUUUCCCCGCUGAAAUGAACCGCAAUUACCCGACAUCGAGCAUCCAGAGCUCACAUUCAGUCUCACAUCGCCUGGAGAGGAGCGUGGUCACUGUUUGCUGCAUCACUCAGGAUAUCAGAGAGAGAGAGCAAAGACUGUGUGUUCACGUCACACAGAGAGAAAUAAGAGACUGUGUAAGAGUCUGCAAUUCGCUACUGAGACGUUAUAAAGAGCAUUAGUUAGAAACAGAGCCGGACUCAUCCGUCCACAGAAAACUUCUCUGCUGCUGUUUCCUGAUCUUAAUGAUUUUUAUAAUUGAUGAACCGUAAAAGUCAUUUUUCAGGACAAACACUAAACUAGA